rnacentral:lncRNA from 10 species
UCUCCAAGUGUCUCCCCAAGUUAGCUCAAGGGCUUGGGAGAAACAAAGUGCUGUCCCUCAGCCUGGGCUGCUCAGAUCCUCAGUGGAAAGGAUCUACAGUGACUACAAUAACCAAGUGCUACAAAAACGCUGUGACGAGGAAUCUGAACAACAGAGAUUUGAGGGAAACAAAACACUUUCGACGAAGGUCCUGCUGCUUGUCUUCAGCUUGGUACCAAUUAGAGCUUCACUGGAGGUGAAAAGGGCAGACACGGUUGCUGAGUGGCUGGUUGGAGAGUCCCUGAGAGAUUACCCAAGAAACUCAGUUGCGGCACGUGGUGGAGCAGCCUCUCAGGAGAUUUUUAGGGAUGCAAGAUGAAAGGAGCUAAACAUAACUAUAGGAAAUGGAGGCUGUUAUCAGCAUCUAGCUUAGGAUGGCGAGCCAAGCAUGGCUCUCAGGUGCAACUCACAUGGAGACGUGGCUCUCAGGUAAAAGAUACAACUCAGUUUCAGAUAUUGCAAGAAAAGAAGCAA